GACCUCAACCGCUCAGGUGACUUAGUGGUUAGAGCGUCCGCCUAGAAUACGGGGGGUCACGGGUUAGAAUCCCGGCCAAGUCA